GUCUUUUUGUUAAUUAUUUAAGGUUUGGCCUGCUCCAUGAUUUAAUUAAAUAGCCGCAGUAUUUUGACUGUGCAAAGGUAGCAUAAUCAUUAGUUUUUUAAUUGAAAGCUGGAAUGAAUGGUCGGAUGAGGAAGAAUCUGUCUCACUCUAAUUUGAUUUGAAUUUUAUUUUUAAGUUAAAAGGCUUAAAUUUUAUAGAAAGACGAGAAGACCCUAUAGAGUUUAAUAGGCUAAUAAGUUGAUUGUUAAAAGAUUUUAGUAUAAUUGAUUUAUUGCUUGUUUUGUUGGGGUGACAAAAGAAUUGAAUUAACUUCUGAUAAUUUUUACAUUAAUUAACGAAUGUGUGAUCCUAAUUUUUGGAUUUAAAGAGAAAAUUACCUUAGGGAUAACAGCGUAAUCUUUUUGGAGAGUUCUAAUCGAUAAAAGGGAUUGCGACCUCGAUGUUGGAUUAAAGUUAAGUUUCGGUGUAGAAGCUGGAAUUUUAAGUCUGUUCGACUUUUAAAACUUUACAUGAUCUGAGUUUAAACCGGCGUGAGCCAGGUUGGUUUCUAUCUUUUAUUAGUAAAAUAUCUUAGUACGAAAGGACCAGAUAUUUAAAUUAUAUUUUUGGUUUGACUAAAAUUGUUAUUUUGGCAGACUAGUGCGAUAGAUUUAGAAUCUUUAUAUGUAAUUUCAUUACAAAUAACAAUUUACUUUUUUGAUUUGAUCUUACUGUUUAUUUCAGCAUUAAUUUUAAUUGUUUGUGUUUUAGUAGGAGUUGCUU
rnacentral:rRNA from 1 species